rnacentral:rRNA from 1 species
GAUGAACGCUGGCGGCGUGCCUAAUACAUGCAAGUCGAGCGAACGGACGAGAAGCUUGCUUCUCUGAUGUUAGCGGCGGACGGGUGAGUAACACGUGGAUAACCUACCUAUAAGACUGGGAUAACUUCGGGAAACCGGAGCUAAUACCGGAUAAUAUUUUGAACCGCAUGGUUCAAAAGUGAAAGACGGUCUUGCUGUCACUUAUAGAUGGAUCCGCGCUGCAUUAGCUAGUUGGUAAGGUAACGGCUUACCAAGGCAACGAUGCAUAGCCGACCUGAGAGGGUGAUCGGCCACACUGGAACUGAGACACGGUCCCGACUCCGACGGGAGGCAGCAGUAGGGAAUCUUCCGGAAUGGGCGAAAGCCUGACGGAGCAACGCCGCGGGAGGGAUGAAGGUCUUCGGAUCGGAAAACUCUGUUAUUAGGGAAGAACAUAUGUGUAAGUAACUGGGCACAUCUUGACGGUACCUAAUCAGAAAGCCACGGCUAACUACGUG